rnacentral:rRNA from 1 species
AUGAACGCUGGCGGCGUGCCUAAUACAUGCCAGUCGAGCGAACGGACGAGAAGCUUGCUUCUCUGAUGUUAGCGGCGGACGGGCGAGUAACACGUGGAUAACCUACCUAUAAGACUGGGAUAACUUCGGGAAACCGGAGCUAAUACCGGAUGAUAUUUUGAACCGCAUGGUUCAAAAGUGAAAGACGGUCUUGCUGUCACUUAUAGAUGGAUCCGCGCUGCAUUAGCUAGUUGGUAAGGUAACGGCUUACCAAGGCAACGAUGCAUAGCCGACCUGAGAGGGUGAUCGGCCACACUGGAACUGAGACACGGUCCAGACUCCUACGGGAGGCAGCAGUAGGGAAUCUUCCGCAAUGGGCGAAAGCCUGACGGAGCAACGCCGCGUGAGUGAUGAAGGUCUUCGGAUCGUAAAACUCUGUUAUUAGGGAAGAACAUAUGUGUAAGUAACUGUGCACAUCUUGACGGUACCUAAUCAGAAAGCCACGGCUAACUACGUG